rnacentral:tRNA from 1 species
GCCGGCCUAGCUCAAUUGGUAGAGCAACUGACUUGUAAUCAGUGGGUUGGGGGUUCAAGUCCUCUGGCCGGCA